rnacentral:rRNA from 1 species
GAUGAACGCUGGCGGCGUGCCUAAUACAUGCAAGUCGAGCGAACGGACGAGAAGCUUGCUUCUCUGAUGUUAGCGGCGGACGGGUAAGUAACACGUGGAUAACCUACCUAUAAGACUGGGAUAACUUCGGGAAACCGUAGCUAAUACCGGAUAAUAUUUUGAACCGCAUGGUUCAAAAGUGAAAGACGGUCUUGCUGUCACUAAUAGAUGGAUCCGCGCUGCAUUAGCUAGUUGGUAAGGUAACGGCUUACCAAGGCAACGAUGCAUAGCCGACCUGAGAGGGUGAUCGGCCACACUGGAACUGAGACACGGUCCAGACUCCUACGGGAGGCAGCAGUAGGGAAUCUUCCGCAAUGGGCGAAAGCCUGACGGAGCAACGCCGCGUGAGUGAUGAAGGUCUUCGGAUCGUAAAACUCUGUUAUUAGGGAAGAACAUAUGUGUAAGUACCUGUGCACAUCUUGACGGUACCUAAUCAGAAAGCCACGGCUAACUCCGUG